rnacentral:rRNA from 1 species
UUAACACAUGCAAGUCGAACGGAAAGGCCUUUUCGGAGGUACUCGAGUGGCGAACGGGUGAGUAACACGUGGGUGAUCUGCCCUGCACUCUGGGAUAAGCCUGGGAAACUGGGUCUAAUACCGGAUAGGACCGCACUUUAGUGUGUGUGGUGGAAAGUUUUUUCGGUGUAGGAUGAGCCCGCGGCCUAUCAGCUUGUUGGUGGGGUAAUGGCCUACCAAGGCGGCGACGGGUAGCCGGACUGGGAGGUUGGUCGGCCACAUUGGGACUGAGAUACGGCCCAGACUCCUACGGGAGGCAGCAGUGGGGAAUAUUGCACAAUGGGCGCAAGCCUGAUGCAGCGACGCCGCGUGGGGGAUGACGGCCUUCGGGUUGUAAACUCCUUUCGCCAGGGACGAAGCGUUUUGUGACGGUACCUGGAGAAGAAGCACCGGCUAACUACGUGCCAGCAGCCGCGGUAAUACGUAGGGUGCAAGCGUUGUCCGGAAUUACUGGGCGUAAAGAGCUCGUAGGUGGUUUGUCACGUCGUCUGUGAAAUUCCGCAGCUUAACUGUGGGCGUGCAGGCGAUACGGGCUGACUUGAGUACUGUAGGGGUAACUGGAAUUCCUGGUGUAGCGGUGAAAUGCGCAGAUAUCAGGAGGAACACCGAUGGCGAAGGCAGGUUACUGGGCAGUUACUGACGCUGAGGAGCGAAAGCAUGGGUAGC